AUGCAAGGUUGAAUAGGCCAGCAGAGUCAAAUCAGAAAGGGUCCUGUAUGCCGCUGAAGAGAUUCAAGCAAGGAAUGAUCAGAUGGGUGUUUUAGAAAAAUCCUUCUGUUGACAGCUGGGAGGCAGGCAUACUAUGAAGAAGGAAAACAGAUACUGGUAUUUCCAUUUCACAGUGCAUGUUCCCUCCAGUUUCUCCAGGCCCUUGACACUGAAUGUUUACAGGAAACAACGUGCAUCUCUGUGGGUCAAGGUCAACGACUCAAAGCAUCAAGUCAGAUAAAGGCCUUCUGGAUCACAGACCCUGUAAAGAGGGAGCAAUAA